AAGACUAUAGACCUGCGGAGUACCUGCGGAAGGAUCAUUAUCGUAUUGUAACAAUUGGGGGGGCCACCGUGGGCUGUCGCUGACCCUUUGAAAGGGGGGUCGUGCACGCCCCCAUAGUGUCAUCCUCAUACAAUCCAACUCACCUCUGUGCAUCACCGCGUGGGUUCCUUUCUGGGUCGAGUCAGACUGGCUCAGAAAAAAGGGGCUUGCGUUUCCAUACAAAUACCCUUAUAAAUCCAG
rnacentral:misc_RNA from 1 species